rnacentral:misc_RNA from 1 species
AUUUUAUUCUGUUAACGUGAAAAUGGGAUCACGUUACGAAGUUGAAGUAAAAAUAACUUCAGCCAAAGAUUUGAAGAACAUCAACUGGCGUUACGGUCCACUCAAACCAUACGCAGUUGUCUGGGUUGAUCCUAAUGCUAAAUGCUCCACUAGAGUCGAUGAAGAUGGUGAUACUUCCCCUUAUUGGAACGAUAAACUUGUGAUUCCUUUGUAUUCUCCCAUUGAUGAAUCCGUAUUGUAUAUCGAUAUGGUUCACGCUGUUGGCGCUGAAGAGGACACAAAGCCUCUUAUCGGAUCCGCUAAGAUUCCUCUUAGCGAAGUCGUAGAGGAGGCUGGGGUAGGCGGUGAGGUGGAGCGUACGCUCCAACUCAAACGCCCUUCUGGCCGUCCUCAAGGGAAGGUAAAAGUACAGGUUACCGUACGCGACCCACGCUAUCGUGCGCGGGAUGCCUAUUACGCACCUCCGUACGGUGUGCCCCCUCCGGCCCAGCCUUAUAAUUAUGGGGCCCCAAUUCUGCCUUACGGGCAGCCGGGUGUGGGUAAUUACGGUCAGGCAGGUGGUGUUUAUGGUUACGAAGAGGAGAAGAAGAAGAGUAAAUUUGGCAUGGGGACAGGAUUGGCAGUGGGUGCAGUAGCGGGGGUAUUGGGUGGAGUGGCGAUAGCAGAGGGUAUUGAUCACUUGGAGAAUAGUAUCGCGGAAGAUGCGGCGGAGAAAGUGGAGGAAGAUCUCGCCGACGACGAUGGUGAUUACGGCGAUGAUGACUUUUAAUUAAGCUACCGUUAAGUAAUAUUCUUACAGUAUUUUUUACGCCCAAUAAAGUCAGUGAGUGAGUAGGAGCUAUUGUGAAAAAGGAAGAAGGGAAUAAGCUUAUAUUUUCUAGUAAAUCAUUAAUAUUGGCUUCUCACAAAGCAAAGAAAAAAAUUUGGAUACUAUUAUUUAAUGAUAGAUUUUAACUCGAUCGAAUAUAUCCAAUGUUAUAGAGAAAAGUUGUUCGAGAUAUAUAUUUUUGAGUGUUUGAAAAAGUUUAUUUGUAUCGAUAUUUA